AGGACGAACGCUGGCGGCGUGCCUAACACAUGCAAGUGGAGCGACGAACCAGGGCUUGCCCUGGGGCAGAGCCGCGAACGGGUGAGUAACACGUGGGUUACCUGCCUCGAUGACCGGGACAACCCGAGGAAACUCGGGCUAAUACCGGAUGUGCCCGCAAGGGGAAAGGAAGCUUCGGCCUCCGCAUCGAGAUGGGCCCGCGGCCCAUUAGCUUGUUGGUGAGGUAACGGCUCACCAAGGCUUCGAUGGGUAGCUGGUCUGAGAGGACGAUCAGCCACACUGGGACUGAGACACGGCCCAGACUCCUACGGGAGGCAGCAGUGGGGAAUCUUGCGCAAUGCGCGAAAGCGUGACGCAGCAACGCCGCGUGGGGGAAGAAGGCUUUCGGGUUGUAAACCCCUUUCAGUUGGGACGAAGCUUCGCCGGUGAAUAGCCGGCUGGAGUGACGGUACCUUCACAAGAAGCACCGGCUAACUACGCGCCAGCAGCCGCGGU
rnacentral:rRNA from 1 species